GGGUUGUGAGGUUAAGCGACUAAGCGUACACGGUGGAUGCCCUGGCAGUCAGAGGCGAUGAAGGACGUGCUAAUCUGCGAAAAGCGUCGGUAAGGUGAUAUGAACCGUUAUAACCGGCGAUGUCCGAAUGGGGAAACCCAGUGCAAUUCGUUGCACUAUCGUUAACUGAAUACAUAGGUUAACGAGGCGAACCGGGGGAACUGAAACAUCUAAGUACCCCGAGGAAAAGAAAUCAACCGAGAUUCCCCCAGUAGCGGCGAGCGAACGGGGAGCAGCCCAGAGUCUGAAUCAGCUUGUGUGUUAGUGGAACGGUCUGGAAAGUCCGACGGUACAGGGUGAUAGUCCCGUACACCAAAAUGCACAGGCUGUGAACUCGAAGAGUAGGGCGGGACACGUGGUAUCCUGUCUGAAUAUGGGGGGACCAUCCUCCAAGGCUAAAUACUCCUGACUGACCGAUAGUGAACCAGUACCGUGAGGGAAAGGCGAAAAGAACCCCGGCGAGGGGAGUGAAAAAGAACCUGAAACCGUGUACGUACAAGCAGUGGGAGCACCUUCGGGUGUGACUGCGUACCUUUUGUAUAAUGGGUCAGCGACUUAUAUUCUGUAGCAAGGUUAACCGUAUAGGGGAGCCGCAGGGAAACCGAGUCUUAACUGGGCGUUAAGUUGCAGGGUAUAGACCCGAAACCCGGUGAUCUAGCCAUGGGCAGGUUGAAGGUUGGGUAACACUAACUGGAGGACCGAACCGACUAAUGUUGAAAAAUUAGCGGAUGACUUGUGGCUGGGGGUGAAAGGCCAAUCAAACCGGGAGAUAGCUGGUUCUCCCCGAAAGCUAUUUAGGUAGCGCCUCGUGAACUCAUCUUCGGGGGUAGAGCACUGUUUCGGCUAGGGGGUCAUCCCGACUUACCAACCCGAUGCAAACUACGAAUACCGAAGAAUGUUAUCACGGGAGACACACGGCGGGUGCUAACGUCCGUCGUGAAGAGGGAAACAACCCAGACCGCCAGCUAAGGUCCCAAAGUCACAGUUAAGUGGGAAACGAUGUGGGAAGGCACAGACAGCCAGGAUGUUGGCUUAGAAGCAGCCAUCAUUUAAAGAAAGCGUAAUAGCUCACUGGUCGAGUCGGCCUGCGCGGAAGAUGUAACGGGGCUAAACUGUGCACCGAAGCUGCGGCAGCGACACUAUGUGUUGUUGGGUAGGGGAGCGUUCUGUAAGCCUGCGAAGGUGGCCUGUGAGGGUUGCUGGAGGUAUCAGAAGUGCGAAUGCUGACAUAAGUAACGAUAAUGCGGGUGAAAAGCCCGCACGCCGGAAGACCAAGGGUUCCUGUCCAACGUUAAUCGGGGCAGGGUGAGUCGACCCCUAAGGCGAGGCCGAAAGGCGUAGUCGAUGGGAAACAGGUUAAUAUUCCUGUACUUGGUGUUACUGCGAAGGGGGGACGGAGAAGGCUAUGUUAGCCGGGCGACGGUUGUCCCGGUUUAAGCAUGUAGGCGGAGGUUCCAGGUAAAUCCGGUACCUUUUUAACGCUGAGGUGUGAUGACGAGGCACUACGGUGCUGAAGUAACAAAUGCCCUGCUUCCAGGAAAAGCCUCUAAGCAUCAGGUAACAUUGAAUCGUACCCCAAACCGACACAGGUGGUCAGGUAGAGAAUACCAAGGCGCUUGAGAGAACUCGGGUGAAGGAACUAGGCAAAAUGGUGCCGUAACUUCGGGAGAAGGCACGCUGAUAUGUAGGUGAAGCCCCUGCGGGUGGAGCUGAAAUCAGUCGAAGAUACCAGCUGGCUGCAACUGUUUAUUAAAAACACAGCACUGUGCAAACACGAAAGUGGACGUAUACGGUGUGACGCCUGCCCGGUGCCGGAAGGUUAAUUGAUGGGGUUAUCCGUAAGGAGAAGCUCUUGAUCGAAGCCCCGGUAAACGGCGGCCGUAACUAUAACGGUCCUAAGGUAGCGAAAUUCCUUGUCGGGUAAGUUCCGACCUGCACGAAUGGCGUAAUGAUGGCCAGGCUGUCUCCACCCGAGACUCAGUGAAAUUGAACUCGCUGUGAAGAUGCAGUGUACCCGCGGCAAGACGGAAAGACCCCGUGAACCUUUACUAUAGCUUGACACUGAACAUUGAGCCUUGAUGUGUAGGAUAGGUGGGAGGCUUUGAAGCGUGGACGCCAGUCUGCGUGGAGCCAACCUUGAAAUACCACCCUUUAAUGUUUGAUGUUCUAACGUUGGCCCCUGAUCGGGGUUGCGGACAGUGUCUGGUGGGUAGUUUGACUGGGGCGGUCUCCUCCCAAAGAGUAACGGAGGAGCACGAAGGUUAGCUAAUCCUGGUCGGACAUCAGGAGGUUAGUGCAAUGGCAUAAGCUAGCUUGACUGCGAGCGUGACGGCGCGAGCAGGUGCGAAAGCAGGUCAUAGUGAUCCGGUGGUUCUGAAUGGAAGGGCCAUCGCUCAACGGAUAAAAGGUACUCCGGGGAUAACAGGCUGAUACCGCCCAAGAGUUCAUAUCGACGGCGGUGUUUGGCACCUCGAUGUCGGCUCAUCACAUCCUGGGGCUGAAGUAGGUCCCAAGGGUAUGGCUGUUCGCCAUUUAAAGUGGUACGCGAGCUGGGUUUAGAACGUCGUGAGACAGUUCGGUCCCUAUCUGCCGUGGGCGCUGGAGAAUUGAGGGGGGCUGCUCCUAGUACGAGAGGACCGGAGUGGACGCAUCACUGGUGUUCGGGUUGUCAUGCCAAUGGCAUUGCCCGGUAGCUAAAUGCGGAAGAGAUAAGUGCUGAAAGCAUCUAAGCACGAAACUUGCCCCGAGAUGAGUUCUCCCUGACUCCUUGAGAGUCCUGAAGGAACGUUAAAGACGAUGACGUUGAUAGGUCGGGUGUGUAAGCGUAGCGAUACGUUGAGCUAACCGAUACUAAUGAACCGUGAGGCUUAACCUUACAACGCCGAAGGUGUUU
rnacentral:rRNA from 1 species